GGACAGCAUGACUCAAUAUUAACAUGGAGGCUUAGUGGCUUCUGAACAGUGGGAGACAACGGCUGUGAGCAAAGUCUAAUUUUUGUCUUCAUGAACUUACUGGAGAUCAGACGCCACCACUACCACUUAAGCCACUGUCUCUCCGAAUUUUGUUUCCAUCUGGAGAUCCUUUGAAAGAGUCCUUUUGUUCUUGUCUGAAGUGUUUCUGGAGUCAUCAUGAAGAUGUUCUGCAUAAUCCUAUAUUUCAUGGUGUAUGUGAAUACCGACCUCAGCUGGCCUGCUGCUGGCCUGGCCUUGGCCAGUGCAGACCCCCAGGAGGAGUUGAAGAGCGGCCUACACCCUGAGGAAGGCCAGGUGCCUCCAGAGAUGCUGCAGGAGCUGCUUUGGUUGUUUCGAGAAGAGGACCCAUCGACGUGGAAUUACUCCAUGCUGGGCCUUUCGUGCCUGGUGCUGGUGGUGGGAUUCUUCCUCCUGGGAGCAAAUGUCAAGGCAAACAGAAACCGGAAAAAUGCACUGCCAAUGAAACAAGAGUAUGAAACUGACCAGCCUGAGGAGACAGAAAUGAAGCAAGGUUUUGUGCUCUUAGCGGACGAUCCUGCUCCAGAUCCUGCUCCAGAAUGUUCACCUCCACAAGCACAAAACGCAGGACAGGUGACCAUCCAGUGGAAGGACGGCCAUGUGACAAACCUGUAUGAGGACAAGCGUGAAGAAGAAGCAUAA
rnacentral:lncRNA from 1 species